ensembl:lncRNA
AAGAACUAUCACUUAUUAUCGCAUCAGUACAAACUUUGUAAGUGUAUGCAUCAUGUGUCAAAUUUUGGAACGCUCAACUCACCAUAGCCCCGCCUCCUCAGUUCCGGCAUUUUGGCUCCGGAAGUACCGUACUUUUUUGGUUCACAGGAAAAGGAAAAAAAACUGCUGUUGGGAAACAAAACAGCAAAAAUGCCUGCCCCUAAAAGACACAAGUCUUUUCAGGCUCCUCAAGCGAAGAGAAGAAAGGAGGAUCAGAACGAAGUCGCCAUGCCAUCCAACAAAACGACACCAGCCUCUGCAACGUCAAGCAACCCCCAAAGAGAAGCACCUUUGUGGAGAAGGAAUAAGAAAAAGCCCCCUGCAGAACUAAAAGAGGGAAAUAAACCUGCAGGGUCCAGCCGCCAUUCCUCCAAGACAAAAUCAACUCAAAAGGCCAGGACUAGGACCAAGUUCAAUCCACCUGUAAAGAACGCCAAGCUGCUGAAAGCCACAAGUGCCUCCUCAAAGAAUCCCAACUCUAAAGGAACCCUAAAAAGACCAGCCAAGAUCUUCAAAACUGCUUCCACAGAGUCCGAUGAGGAGCUUAUCAGAACUCAUAAACCACAUUGCAUCAGAAAAUACUCUAAUGGGGAUCGAGGUAAGCGUAAAGGGUCACAGUCUAACCUGAAUGAAGAAGUAUUGCUCUCAGACCCUGUGCAGAGGGAUCACAAUUAUGGUAUACCCUCUGCGUCUUAUGGUAGUCAUUCUGAAAUUGAGGAAAAUAAAAGGAAAAGAGUCAGAGAGUCCACCAGAGGCCCAGAGACCCAGAGAGAUGUGAAGAUGGAAACUCAAAUGUCUUCAGAACCCUUACCUGAACAAUCUGGACAGAUGAAGCGGAGCAGUGAGACGUAUGAGGUGCAGGAUAAUUCCAUGACCACCCCAACAGAUGAAUUUAGUGAGAGUGUCAACACUAAGCCUGACAUAAAAAUGUCUCCUCCAGCAUCCCCUGAGAAAGCUUCAGACCCCAUCCAUAAGCAGGUGAACCAGAGUAGAGAGAAACAUGAGGAGCAGAAUGAUUCCGUGACCAUCCCUACAUAUCAAGUUAGUGAGAGUGUAGCGAGCAAGAUGGAUGCAUAUAAAAAGUCUGCAGACCCCAUACCUGAACUACUAAAACAGAGCACUGAGACACAGGAAAUGCAGGAAAAUUCCAUGACCACCUAUACAGAUAAAGUUAAUGAACAUUUAGAGACUAAGGUCGGUGCAAAAAUAUUGUCUCAUCCAGCCAUCGGCUUAGUAGCAUAUAGUAGCAGUAGUGAUUCUGAAUGUGAAAGUGAGGGAAAUGACAGGACGGGAGUCACAGAGUCAAUAGAUGUGAAGAUGAAAACUCAAGCAUCUUCAGAGAAGGCUUCAGACCCUGUCCCUGAACAGGUGAAGGAGAGCAGUGAGACGAGGCAGAUGCAGGAGGAUCCCAUGACCACCCCUACAUAUGAAGUUACCGAGGAUUCCAUGACCUCCCCUACAUAUGAAGUUACCGAGGAUUCCAUGACCUCCCCUACUGAGAGUGUAGACCCCAAGCUUGAUGCAAAUAUAAAGCCUCCUCCAUCUAUAGAAGUAUAUUCAGAGGAGGCUUCAGACCCUGUCCCUGAACAGGUGAAUCCUGAACAGGUGAAUCAGAUAUACAUUGAAAUAGAGAAGGUGCAGGAAGAUUCCAUGACCACCCCAACAGAUGAAGUACGUGAACUUUUAGAUGGCACGCUUGAUGCAGAAGUAAUGUCCCUGCCACCUUUAGAAGCAUCCUCUGAGGAGACCCAUACAUUUGAAGUUAGUGAGAGUGUAGAGACCAAGUGUUCAGAACUUGCACCUGAACAUGUGACGCAGAGCACUGAGAUGCAGGGAGAUUCCGCGCCAACCCAUGCAGUUCAAGUAAGUGAGAGUGUAGACACCAAGCUUGAUAUUGAAGUAAAUUCUGCUCCACCUGUAGAACUAUCCUCUGAGGAGACUUCAGACAUUGUCUCUGUCUCAGAGCAGGUGCUGCAGAGCAGUGAGACACAGGAAGUCCAGGAAGAUUCCAUGACCACCCGUACAGAUGAACUUAGGGAAAGUUUAGGAACAAAGUCGGGUGCUAAAAUAAAGUCUCCACCCUUAGAGGUGCUUUUCAGUGCUCUAAAGGAGUCCAGUCUUUGCAAACAUCCCCUGUCUCAUACGAUGCGCUCAAAUGUCAAAGAGUUUCUGGGAGUAGAGGAUUCUUUAGAAAUCACUAAAAAAGACUGUGACUUUGGUGUAACGGAGAGCAUUGAGUGUACUUUAGACCUCGAGACUCCGAUUAUUGUCGAGGAUAUGGAGAUCGGCCACUGUGUUGUGGAGGUGGUGGGAGAGAAUGGAGAGGAGGUGGAUAGUGAUCUGGAAAUCAUAGACAACUCUGAGAGGCCAGAGAAGACACUUGAGCUAACCAAAGGGUCUGAAGAAGAGUGCAGUGUGGAUAAAAGUGAAGAUGGUAUUGAAAAGAAAGGCACAAGUUCCUCUAACCAAGACAGCACAAAUAGUGGGAAGAAGGAAGUUACUAAAAAAACACAGGGUAGCCUGGAAAAACCCAAGAAACAGCAGAUGAACCCUCAGGCCCGGACCAAAGCCCGACUAGCAGCGCUAGCUGAGCAAAAGGCAGCUGGCUCCAAAAAAGCGAGCAGGCAGCUCAACCUCCUGGCCCUAUGUGAAGAAAUAGCAGAUGAUAUCGCCACUGACACAAUGUUAAUAAAGACGAAGGAGGAGGAGGAGCAGGUUGUAAUAAUUAAGGCUGAACCCAGCAAGGAGCCAGAAUGCACACCGCCUGUCACACAGGCUGAGACUGUUCCGAUACCUCCUACUCCUGCCCGGCCCGAGGAACCGUCUCCAGCAGUAGAACCCUCCGCUGAGGAGCCUGCUCCAGCCAAGCCCCCAGCUCCAGAGCCACCUCGGAGGCGUUUCUUCAUCAGCCAAGUGACGGUACCCCUCAAAAUCCACGAGAAGAAGAAGCUUACCAGGUUCCAGAGGCUGCGGCAGGUGGAACUGCAGCGGGAGAAGAAUAUGUCCUGGACCAUGGUGAAGAAGCUCAAGUCCGAUCAGAAGAUGAUUCCAGAGACUGAGACUAAACCUUCCCCUCCAGCAGCAGCACCUCUCCAAGUGACCACCCCCCCCCCCCUCAACCAGUCCAGCUGCACUCUCCUCAACCAGUCAAGUUGAGCCCCCAAAAGUUGAGCCCCCAAAAGUUGAGCCCCCAAAAGUUGAGCCCCCAAAAGAGCCCCAAAAAGUUGAGCCCCCGAAAGUGACCCCCAGUAAGGGACCCACCCUGAGAAAGAGGACGCUUCCAGCAGAACCCCCGCCGAUGCCCAACGGGCUGAAAGCUCAGAAGGCCAAGCCUGUGGUGGAGUAUAAGCCUUACAAAUCCAGGCCCAAGUACUCCUUUGAUGACUUUGAAUGUGAUGACGAGCCGAAACCCACAGUGCAGAAGGCAGCAGUGAGACCUACAGCUACUACUAUUCAGAGGGCAGCAGUUAAACCUACCGCCGUUCAGCGGGCAGCAGUGAGACCUACCGCCGUUCAGAGGGCAGCAGUGAGACCUACCGCCAUUCAGAGGGCAGCAGUGAGACCUGCCGCCGUUCAGAGGGCAGCAGUGAGACC